UACGAAGGGGGCAAGCGUUACUCGGAAUUACUGGGCGUAAAGCGUGCGUAGGUGGUUCGUUAAGUCUGAUGUGAAAGCCCUGGGCUCAACCUGGGAAUGGCAUUGGAUACUGGCGAUCUAGAGUGCGGUAGAGGGCAGUGGAAUUCCCGGUGUAGCAGUGAAAUGCGUAGAGAUCGGGAGGAACAUCUGUGGCGAAGGCGACUGCCUGGACCAGCACUGACACUGAGGCACGAAAGCGUGGGGAGCAAACAGG
rnacentral:rRNA from 1 species